rnacentral:lncRNA from 1 species
CCGGCCCCCGCCGGGACCCCGCCGAGCGGCAGAAUGACUUGGGAUAUAAAUAAACUAAAUAUAUCCUGUUUGAAUAAUAAGUGGAAGACAGCUUGAUGAAUUGGACAAGGAAGCCCUUGGAACAGGAUGUAAAAGCAGCACUUUCCAUCCAGCCUGACAUCCUGCUUCCAGAUGCAGAAGGCUGAGCAGGCCACCAGGAUCACAUUUAAAUGGCUGUGGCCAUGAUGUUCCAAUUUGAAACCUGGACUCCACCAACUUCCAUACUCAUCCCUUGCUCUCAGCCCUCUCCCUCCCCUGUCCAGGUCCUCAGGAUGAUCUGAGAAAUAUGUUACACUUUUCUUCCUCGCUAGAUGUCAACACGUUGGAAGGCAGGGACCUUGCCAUAUUAAUCCUUAGGGCCUUGGGUUCUGCUGUAGUAAAGACUCAAAAAAUGUUGGGUAAAAUUAAUUUUAAAAACAACUGGUGGCCGGGUGCGGUGGCUCACGCCUAUGAUCCCAGCACUUUGGG